CUGUGCACCUGUACGUGCCAGAGCUGGAGGGUCGGGGGUUCUGCAGGAGCAGAGUCCCCGUGGGGUGGAGCAGCUCGCCCCCAGAGCCCCGGCCCUGGUGAGCUGUGGAGAGUACGGAGUGGUCAGGGGCUGCCACAAUGACCGCGACGUGGAUCUUCAUCUCGUCCCUCCCCAGAGUGUUUUGGGCGUAGCACGUGUAGUCUCCUCCCUCUGCCACUCCAGCUUUGUUGAGGGCACCAGCUUCUUGAACUGCUGCUUGUGGUCAAUCUUGGCUGGUUUCAUUGCGAUGCUGACUUUCAUCAGUAUCAGAUCAUCCCCGAUGCUGUUUCUGGCCACGCACAGGUGCUGUGCCCGUGCCUCCUGCCCACGCAGCGUGUCCUGCCCUGAUGUCACUGCCAGUUUUGGUGUUGUGUGGAUGUGAGCGGUGCUGGCUCUGCUGGGAACACCCUGAGCUGGGGCUGUGUCUCCUAAGGUGGAGGUGAGUGUCACUGUGGGAGGGGGUGGGGGGACACCCCCAAAGGUAGACAUGGCAGAGAUAAAAGAAACCCCUCCCUCUUGAGCCCUGCUUCACAAAUCUGUUACAAAUAAUUUCCCCUCCUCUGAACUGACAGCAGUCAGCCAGUGCAUGGUGACAGUAAUUAUCUUAAUUCAAAUAUGACUUGUACCUGUUCUGAGACCUCACUCACCUAUGGCAAUUGAUGUGAUCUGUUAAUAGGUCUGUUAUUAGAUAUAGAUGCUGUUAGAACAGAUGUUUCACAACUGUUAAUACUCAAAGUUUGGUUUAGUUCACAGUGCAUUAGUGCUGUGAUAGGCUCUUAUGUGAGUAUUAGAGCAGACCGUGUUUGAAGCUCCAAAGCAGAGGAGGA